CCAUUCCUAUUCAAUGACCCCUAAAUGGGCUUGCCAUCUUUGGCUUUUGAGUAGCUGCUCUUGAUAGCCUCAUGAUUUUAGAUUUUCCAUAGUUUUUCUUCAGGUAAGUUUCACAAGUCAGGAAUCUGCUCAGACGGCAGCUUCCCUAAUUUUUAUCUCUGUACAAUAAAUUCCACAAAAUUAUUUCCAUUCUGCCAGGUGUGGUGGUUCACGCCUGUAAUCCCUGCACUUUGGGAGGCCAAGGUGAGUGGAUUGCUUGGGCCCAGGAAUUUGAGACCAGCCUGGGCAAUGUGGUGAGACCCCAUCUCUAAAAAAAAAAAAAAAAAAAAAAAAAAAAAAAAAAUUAGCCAGGUGUGGUGGUGCAUGCCUUUAGUCCCAGCUACUCGGAGACUGACGUAGGAGGAUCAGUUGAGCAUGGGAGAUUGAGGCUGCAGUGAGCCGUGACCGUGCCACUGCACUCCAGCCUGGGCAACAGCAAGAGAGCCUGUCUUAAAAACGAAAACAAAGUUAUUUCCAUUCUACAGGACCUACCACAUGGGCAGAUGAAUUAUCCUAUUGGGGAAACGGAUUCAGUCAUCUUUGAAAUCAUCACCUCUCCUCCUGUCUUCCAUUUGCCAGUUAGAAAAAACCAAAACAGAUCCACAGUAUUAUGGGAGCAAAUCAGAGUUUGACAGACCUUCAAAGGCCUUCAUUCGCAUUGGAUAUUCAGAUUUCUCACUCUGGAAUUCAAGCAAUAGGCAGCACAUGGUGGUAAUCGGUCAGACUCUGGAGCCAGAUUCUUCAAAUCCUCUACUCAGAUAUGUGACCUCUAUGUAAGUUUUUUAAAAAUUUGUAUUAUCUUUUAACCAGCAAAACUAGGAUACUACCAACCUUAUUGGAUUGUUGUGGGGAUUAAAUGAGUUAAUAAGAAAGUGCUUGGGAAAGUGCCUGGCAUAUAAUGGGCAUUUGAGACAUUAUCAUUACCUGGUUCUGGUCUGCCAAGAAUGUAAACCCCAGAAGGGCAGGAAUUUUUGUCUAUUUUGUUGCUUACUGUAUUCCCAGGGCCUAGAAUAGUCCCUGGCACAUAUUAGAUACUCAAAUUAUUUGCUGAAUGAGUUAAUCCAUUAUAUAUUUAUUUAUAGCUCAGCCAAACUAUAAUACUCCCUGAUAUGGUUUGGCUCUGUGUCCCCACCCAAAUCUCAUCUCAAAUUGUAAUCCCUAUGUGUUGAGGGAGGGACCUGGUGGGAGGUGUUUAAAUCAUAGGGGCAAUUUCCCCCAUGCUGUUCUCAUGAUAGUGAGGGAUUUCUCACGAGAUCUGAUGGAUUUAAAAGUGGCAGUUUCCCCUGCACUCUGUCUCUCUCCUGCUGCCAUGUAAGAUGUACCUUGCUUCCCCUUCACCUUCUGCCAUGACUGUAAGUUUCCAAUUCCAGAGGCCUCC
rnacentral:lncRNA from 10 species